UUCAGAUGAUUCUUUUGAAAAAUUUUGAGCUGUAAAAAUUGGAAUACUUCAAAAUGGAGAAUAUUUAAGAACUUGGAGUUGGCGACGUCUAUCGCCUUGGCAACCUGAAGCGUCUUGAAGAGGUGGGCGUGGUCAGAGACAGGUGCUUCCAAGGGGAAGGAGACAGAAGUGAAGGAGGUUGCAAAGCCGCAGAUCCACGUGGUUGAGUCCGCGGGGAAGAGGCCAUGUUGGUGCUACCGUCAACAGUUCGGAUAUCCAUCGGGGAUUUAUUUCUUUUUCUUGGCAUCAUAACUUGGUGACUGAUUUUCAAUAAGGUCUUGGCAGAUUGUUCAAACACAGUGAAUUCAAUUUUCAUAAAUACAUCCGACAAUAUAAGAGCAGUCCUUUCUUAGCCCUGCAGCAUAUUUUAAUGAAAGUUUCAAGAAUAUGUUUACUAAGGGUCUCCCCCUAUAGGAACUCAAAGGGUUUAUUUUUAAGAGAGAAUAACAAAAGGUCUAUAGGAGAAAUAAGCAAUCUAUCACUCCAAAAUAGAAUAAUUAAAUACAAAUUACUUUCCUCCGUUUUUGGAUUACGACUUCAAAUUCAUUCGAAACAAACCAACAGGUAAGCAAAAAAAUCAAAUUAUUUUAUCGUGAAAUGUGUUUUUGAUUUCGA